rnacentral:rRNA from 1 species
UAGGGAAUCUUCCGCAAUGGACGAAAGUCUGACGGAGCAACGCCGCGUGAGUGAUGAAGGUUUUCGGAUCGUAAAACUCUGUUGUUAGGGAAGAACAAGUACAAGAGUAACUGCUUGUACCUUGACGGUACCUAACCAGAAAGCCACGGCUAACUACGUGCCAGCAGCCGCGGUAAUACGUAGGUGGCAAGCGUUGUCCGGAAUUAUUGGGCGUAAAGCGCGCGCAGGCGGUCCUUUAAGUCUGAUGUGAAAGCCCACGGCUCAACCGUGGAGGGUCAUUGGAAACUGGGGGACUUGAGUGCAGAAGAGAAGAGUGGAAUUCCACGUGUAGCGGUGAAAUGCGUAGAGAUGUGGAGGAACACCAGUGGCGAANGCGACUCUUUGGUCUGUAACUGACGCUGAGGCGCGAAAGCGUGGGGAGCAAACAGGAUUAGAUACCCUGGUAGUCCACGCCGUAAACGAUGAGUGCUAAGUGUUAGAGGGUUUCCGCCCUUUAGUGCUGCAGCAAACGCAUUAAGCACUCCGCCUGGGGAGUACGGCCGCAAGGCUG